rnacentral:rRNA from 1 species
GUCCACGCCCUAAACGAUGUCAACUAGGUGUUGGGUGGGUAAACCAUUUAGUACCGGAGCUAACGCGUGAAGUUGACCGCCUGGGGAGUACGGCCGCAAGGUUAAAACUCAAAGGAAUUGACGGGGACCCGCACAAGCGGUGGAUGAUGUGGAUUAAUUCGAUGCAACGCGAAAAACCUUACCUACCCUUGACAUGUCCAGAAGCCUGAAGAGAUUUGGGUGUGCCCGAAAGGGAGCUGGAACACAGGUGCUGCAUGGUUGUCGU